GCCGGCAGUUAGCAACUCUCACAUGGUCACCCACUGAAGCUAAGCAGGGCUGCGCCCAGUCAGUACCUGGAUGGAAGACCACAUGGGAAAGCUAGUUUUCUGCCGGAA
rnacentral:rRNA from 1 species